GAUACAUUUUGCAGAGAUACUUACAAAGGGUCUUGUGCAAAGGUACAGAGUGGAAAGGAGCAAGUCAAAGGAGAUCCAAGACUUGUGAAAAAUUUA